rnacentral:rRNA from 1 species
GGGGAAUCUUGCGCAAUGGACGAAAGUCUGACGCAGCAACGCCGCGUGAGUGAAGAAGGCCUUCGGGUUGUAAAGCUCUGUCACCUGGGACGAAAAUUGGGAAGUUUAAGAGAUAUUCCAACUGACGGUACCAGGGGAGGAAGCACCGGCUAACUUCGUGCCAGCAGCCGCGGUAAUACGAAGGGUGCAAGCGUUGUUCGGAAUUAUUGGGCGUAAAGGGCAGGUAGGUGGUCCUAUUUGUCUGAGGUGAAAUCCCAGGGCUUAACCCUGGAAGUGCCUUAGAAACGGUAGGACUAGAGUGCUAGAGAGGUUUGUGGAAUUCCCAGUGUAGCGGUGAAAUGCGUAGAGAUUGGGAGGAACACCAGAAGCGAAGGCGACAAACUGGAUAGCAACUGACACUCAACUGCGAAAGCGUGGGGAUCAAAC